rnacentral:rRNA from 1 species
GACGAACGCUGGCGGCGUGCUUAACACAUGCAAGUCGAACGGAAAGGCCCUGCUUUUGUGGGGUGCUCGAGUGGCGAACGGGUGAGUAACACGUGAGUAACCUGCCCUUGACUUUGGGAUAACUUCAGGAAACUGGGGCUACUACCGGAUAGGAGCUCCUGCUGCAUGGUGGGGGUUGGAACGUUUCGGCUGGCGGGGAUGGACUCGCGGCUUAUCAGCUUGUUGGUGGGGUAGUGGCUUACCAAGGCUUUGACGGGUAGCCGGCCUGAGAGGGUGACCGGCGACAUGGGGACUGAGAUACGGACCAGACUCCUACGGGAGGCAGCAGUGGGGAAUAUUGCACAAUGGGCGGAAGUCUGAUGCAGCAACGCCGCGUGCGGGAUGACGGCCUUCGGGGUGUAAACCGCUGUCGCCUGUGACGAAGCGUGAGUGACGGUAAUGGGUAAAGAAGCACCGGCUAACUACGUG